UAUUGACAUACACCUUGACUGAUUCGUCGAUCUGACAGUUUUGUUUUCACUUGCGUCAGAUAGAUAAGUCAGUAUUAUUUUGAAAUGAACACAUACGUCGGUAAAGUUAAUGUACAAGAAUGGCGAAAACACUUGAUUACUUUAUCAUUUCAAUCAUUUACGCAUUCUGUAGAAUCUAAUAAAAAUGGGAUCUCGACGAGCACAAUGGAAAUUGGUGUUACAUUAACGCCAACAUGGGAUGCUGAGAUGAAGGAAAAGGGACAUGAGUUAUCGGCACUCCACGAGACUGACUAUCCAGAAGGAGACUGCGUUAGAUUUUCUGGUUCGGUUUAGGGCAUUUUUCGACUUUCUAGGAUUCUAGUAUUCGCGUUUGUUAUAUUGGAUAAAAUUUAAUGAUGGUACUUUGCAUAGAAACCUUGCUGUUAAGAUAUAUGAAAGUGCUUCACGAAUGCUCAGUUGCAAAUGUAUAAAAAUUGUGCCUCGGCACACCAAACUCAUAAACAAUUUGAAACGACGUUGUAUGGUACUUUGUAGUAUAGCUGCAUCGUGAACUCUCGAAUUUGGUGUAGCCGAAGUUUUAAAUUUUUAGUGGCGGCCGGAAUAUCAUGUAAAUUACCUUCUUCACUGGCUCUACAUUCAAUUGGUAUCUGACUUGCUUUUCAACUCUCACUUUGUGCUAUAUUUAAGGUAUUGUGGGUUUUUUGAGAACUGGUGAGAGUGGGAUAUCAUUGUUCAUCUCAAAUCUAAUUCAAUAAUAUAGUGAUGGCUUAAGAAUCCUAUGCAGCAAGUUUUAAAUUUGAUACUAGCCUAUAUAAUAUAAAUAAACCUGAGUAAAUACUGUUUUCUCAAAUCUCUAUGAAGAUUCACAGAGAUUUAAACCAGCACGCAAGGAGAUUUGAGUAGAGUAUUUUCACUGUUUUAUUCAUAUUGGCUACAGUAGAUCCCGUAUAUGAAUUAUAUACAUAAUAUUAUAUAUUCAUUAUAUUGAAUAAAAUAAGCAGUAUGUAAAGACUAAUGUGAAACCACUACACGCUUUAGAGUUCAAUUAAGUUAACAAGCAUUCAAUAUAAUUCCUUUUUUAUAAACGUUUAUUUCAUGGAAACGAUGUACAAUCAUACUGUUACCGUAUGGAUAAUUAAACGAUGUAUAAUAUAUGCAA